rnacentral:rRNA from 1 species
GAUAAACGCUGGCGGCGUGCAUAACACAUGCAAGUCGAACGAUGAAGAUUAAAAGAUUUCUUCGGAAUGAACUUAAUUGGAUUAGUGGCGGACGGGUGAGUAACGCGUGAGUAACCUGCCUUGUACAAGGGGAUAGCCGUUGGAAACGACGAAUAAUACCCUAUGACAUCAAAUAAUCGCAUGAUAAUUUGUUCAAAGAUUUAUCGGUAUAAGAUGGACUCGCGUCUGAUUAGCUAGUUGGUAGAGUAAAAGCCUACCAAGGCAACGAUCAGUAGCCGGCUUGAGAGAGUGUACGGCCACAUUGGGACUGAGACACGGCCCAGACUCCUACGGGAGGCAGCAGUGGGGAAUUUUGCACAAUGGGGGAAACCCUGAUGCAGCGACGCCGCGUGAUUUAGAAGGCCUUCGGGUUGUAAAAAUCUUUUGUAUGGGAAGAAAAUGACAGUACCAUACGAAUAAGGACCGGCUAAUUACGUG